rnacentral:rRNA from 1 species
UGGAGGCAGCAGUGGGGAAUAUUGGUUAAUGUGGGAAACCGCGAACCAGCAACGCCGCGUGCACGAUGAAGGCCUUCGGGUCGUAAAGUGCUUUUAGAGAGGAUGAGGAAGGACAGUACUCUCUGAAUAAGCCUCGGCUAACUACGUGCCAGCAGCCGCGGUAAAACGUAGGAGGCGAGCGUUAUCCGGAUUUACUGGGCGUAAAGCGCGUGUAGGCGGUCUGACAAGUUGGAUGUGAAAGCUCCUGGCUUAACUGGGAGAGGUCGUUCAAAACUGUUAGACUUGAGAGUGGUAGAGGGAGGUGGAAUUCCGGGUGUAGUGGCGAAAUGCGUAGAUAUCCGGAGGAACACCAGUGGCGAAAGCGGCCUCCUGGACCAUUUCUGACGCUCAGACGCGAAAGCUAAGGUAGCAAACGGGCUUAGAUACCCCGGUAGUCCC